ACGAUAUUGUUCAUGAUUGAUGAAGUGUUAUAUGUAUAUAUGAUGUUUUAAGAUGUUGAUUACCAUUUGAUGUUGUUAUAUUGUGAUAUAAUUAUAUAUGCAUUACUUGAAUUAUAUGUGAAUAAUUGAGACGUUGUUGACUUGCAUUUGAUAUUAUUAUGUCAUGCUGUUUUUGUAUACUGCUGUGUUGUUGUUGUUAUUUAACUAAGCUGCAUGAGUCGGUCUAAGUUGAUUAAGAUGUUGAUGAUGAUGUUCCAAAUUAUUGGACUAUUUAAGAGGUCGUUGAAUUAAGAUGUUUAAGAGGUCGAGUCCAUGCAUUAGCAUUCAGCGAUUGGGGCUUGAUGC
rnacentral:lncRNA from 1 species